rnacentral:rRNA from 1 species
CUGCGAAUGGCUCAUUAUAUAAGUUAUCGUUUAUUUGAUAGUACCUUACUACUUGGAUAACCGUGGUAAUUCUAGAGCUAAUACAUGCUAAAAAUCCCGACUUCGGAAGGGAUGUAUUUAUUAGAUUAAAAACCAAUGCCCUCUGGGCUCCUUGGUGAUUCAUAAUAACUUUUCGAAUCGCAUGGCCUUGCGCCGGCGAUGGUUCAUUCAAAUUUCUUCCCUAUCAACUUUCGAUGUUUGGGUAUUGGCCAAACAUGGUCGCAACGGGUAACGGAGGGUUAGGGCUCGACCCCGGAGAAGGAGCCUGAGAAACGGCUACUACAUCCAAGGAAGGCAGCAGGCGCGCAAAUUACCCAAUCCCGAUUCGGGGAGGUAGUGACAAUAAAUACUGAUACAGGGCUCUUUUGGGUCUUGUAAUUGGAAUGAGUACAAUUUAAAUCUCUUAACGAGGAACAAUUGGAGGGCAAGUCUGGUGCCAGCAGCCGCGGUAAUUCCAGCUCCAAUAGCGUAUAUUAAAGUUGUUGUGGUUAAAAAGCUCGUAGUUGAACCUUGGGCCUGGCUGGCCGGUCCGCCUCACCGCGUGUACUGGUCCGGCCGGGCCUUUCCCUCUGUGGAACCUCAUGCCCUUCACUGGGUGUGGCGGGGAAACAGGACUUUUACUUUGAAAAAAUUAGAGUGCUCCAGGCAGGCCUAUGCUCGAAUACAUUAGCAUGGAAUAAUGAAAUAGGACGUGUGGUUCUAUUUUGUUGGUUUCUAGGACCGCCGUAAUGAUUAAUAGGGACAGUCGGGGGCAUCAGUAUUCAAUUGUCAGAGGUGAAAUUCUUGGAUUUAUUGAAGACUAACUACUGCGAAAGCAUUUGCCAAGGAUGUUUUCAUUAAUCAGGAACGAAAGUUAGGGGAUCGAAGACGAUCAGAUACCGUCGUAGUCUUAACCAUAAACUAUGCCGACUAGGGAUCGGACGAUGUUAUUUUUUGACGCGUUCGGCACC